CACUUCCUCUUUUUUUUUUUUUUUUUUAAGACAGUGAAACCUUUAUAAGGAAGAAGAUUAAUUCUUCCCUUGGUCUUUAAGGACCAUUCUCUCCUGACAACCACUUAGCUGAAUCCCCCAAAUCUAACUUGAAAAAACAACAAUCGCACACUUUCAAGCAAGUUGUUCCUGGGGACUUUAGAAAUCUACAACACCUACAACUGAAGAGGUCAGUUUUUUUUUUUAAUUUUUUUGCCGUAUGUGGGCCUCUCACUAUUGUGGCCUCUCCCGCUGCGGAGCACAGCCACUCCGCGGCAUGUGGGAUCUUCCCGCACCGGGGCACGAACCCGUGUCCCCUGCAUCGGCAGGCGGACUCCCAACCACUGCGCCACCAGGGAAGCCCAAGAGGUCAGUUUUAUGGGGACAUUUGGACAAAACUCGCCUGUUCUAGAACACUGGCUAGAGCAAACCUCUCAGCUAAUCCUACAUCCAGAGGAAGGGACUCUUCAGACUCAGGAAACAGAGAGACUUCCAGAAGAAGCAAAGCAGGAGAGGCUUCCUGAGGAGAGAGUGGAAGCACCUCAAGAAACAGUCUAACUGGGCAGAUCAUCUGGUCCCAGUCAUAAGCAACAAAGUGGAAAUGAUUGGCAGAAUGCUGCAAGUGUGAAUUCUUUAUAAGCCACCAACUUCCUCAAAUAAGCACUUGAAAGCUGUCAGUUUCCUGUAACAAUCCAAAGUAAUUUCUUUCUCUUUUAAAACAAACAUGCCCCAUAGUGAAUUAUA